GCGCUGAGUAGCUGUGGAGAAAAGGAGACAACCAUCAGUGACAGAUUGCCCAUUUAGGAGGUUAUCACUGAAACUAGGCCUAGGAGGUCUGUAACAUACCGAUUACAGGGCUCUGCGGUUCUUCAGCUCUCCUCUUCCUCCCUCCACUGCGGUCACUGCUAUACUUAAGCCAGUUUUUAAUGUGGCUGUCGCACUCGCUGGCAGUGAUAUUUUGUGCUGCCGCAGCACCUGAACAGCAAUGCAGUGGCAUUCAGACGCCUCUUAUAGCUGCAGUGAUUUUUAAAGCUGCAAAAGCCUUCUUUUGGCCUCCUCGGCCAAGCCAAUUGUAUUGGGUUGCCAGUG